ACACGUGCUACAAUGGGCGGUACAAAGAGCAGCGAGCUCGGCGAGAGUAAGCAAAUCUCAAAAAGCCGUCCUCAGUUCGGAUUGGAGUCUGCAACUCGACUCCAUGAAGUUGGAAUCGCUAGUAAUCGCGGAUCAGCAUGCCGCGGUGAAUACGUUCCCGGGCCUU
rnacentral:rRNA from 1 species